ensembl:lncRNA novel transcript
AUCAAUUUUAUCUUCAGCUUCUGUUAUUAAUUCUUAUGACGAAAAUGACAUCCGUCAUUCCAAACCUCUGCUAGUUCAGAUGGAUUGCAAUUAUAAUGGAUAUGUUGCGGGUAUUCCAAAUUCUCUUGUGACUCUCAGCGUAUGUUCAGGACUCAGGGGAACAAUGCAGCUGAAAAACAUCUCAUAUGGAAUUGAACCGAUGGAGGCUGUAUCAGGAUUUAUACACAAGAUUUAUGAAGAAAAAUAUGCUGACACUAAUAUUCUCUUAGAAGAAAAUGACACUUAUACUUGGUUUAAUUCAGAGUAUCAAGUCAGAAAAAGUUCAGAAAAAACUGACUUUAUUAAGUUAUUCCCUCGAUAUAUUGAAAUGCAUAUUGUUGUGGACAAAAAUUUGGAGUGUCAGCAGCUAUAGUGAAGUUUCAAGAAGGGGGAAUGCUGUCGGGACUGAGCAGGCAAUGGCCUAAAAACAAUAAAAAGCCCUACUAAAA